UCGACCGGCGCACGGGUGAGUAACGCGUAUCCAACCUUCCCAUUACUGUGGGAUAACCUGCCGAAAGGCAGACUAAUACCGCAUAGUCUUCGAUGACGGCAUCAGAUUUGAAGUAAAGAUUUAUCGGUAAUGGAUGGGGAUGCGUCUGAUUAGCUUGUUGGCGGGGUAACGGCCCACCAAGGCGACGAUCAGUAGGGGUCCUGAGAGGAAGGUCCCCCACAUUGGAACUGAGACACGGUCCAAACUCCUACGGGAGGCAGCAGCU
rnacentral:rRNA from 1 species